rnacentral:rRNA from 1 species
AUUGAACGCUGGCGGCAGGCCUAACACAUGCAAGUCGAGCGGAUGAAGGGAGCUUGCUCCUGGAUUCAGCGGCGGACGGGUGAGUAAUGCCUAGGAAUCUGCCUGGUAGUGGGGGAUAACGUCCGGAAACGGGCGCUAAUACCGCAUACGUCCUGAGGGAGAAAGUGGGGGAUCUUCGGACCUCACGCUAUCAGAUGAGCCUAGGUCGGAUUAGCUAGUAGGUGGGGUAACGGCUCACCUAGGCGACGAUCCCUAGCUGGUCUGAGAGGAUGACCAGCCACACUGGAACUGAGACACGGUCCAGACUCCUACGGGAGGCAGCAGUGGGGAAUAUUGCACAAUGGGCGCAAGCCUGAUGCAGCCAUGCCGCGUGUAUGAAGAAGGCCUUCGGGUUGUAAAGUACUUUCAGCGAGGAGGAAGGCGUUGUGGUUAAUAACCGCAACGAUUGACGUUACUCGCAGAAGAAGCACCGGCUAACUCCGUGCCAGCCGCCGCGGUAA